rnacentral:misc_RNA from 1 species
UACGGGUGGCGCAAGUGUUACUCUUCAUCAUUGGGCGUAAAGGGUGCGUAGGCGGUAUAUUAAGUUCUAAAUGAAACUACAACAUAAAACUGUUGUACUAUUUUUUAUACUAUUAUACUAGAGUAUUGUCGAAGAUAAUGGAACCUUUAAUAAAGAAUUUAAAUGCGUCGGCAUAUUAAAGGGAACACCGAAGGCGAAAGCAAUUAUCUAGAUAAAUACUGACGCUGAGGCACAACAGCAUAGGUAUCAAACAGG